GCCUGGGUGGCUCAGUUGGUUGAGCGUCUGACUACUGAUCUUAGCUUAGGUCUUGUUCUCAGAGUUGUGAGUUCAAGACCCACACUGGGCU
rnacentral:tRNA from 1 species